rnacentral:rRNA from 1 species
UACGUAGGGUGCAGGCGUUAAUCGGAAUUACUGGGCGUAAAGCGUGCGCAGGCGGUUUUGUAAGCCGGAUGUGAAAUCCCCGGGCUUAACCUGGGAAUGGCAUUCGGGACUGCAAGGCUGGAGUGCGGCAGAGGAGACUGGAAUUCCUGGUGUAGCAGUGAAAUGCGUAGAUAUCAGGAGGAACACCGAUGGCGAAGGCAGGUCUCAGGGCUGACACUGACGCUCAUGCACGAAAGCGUGGGGAGCAAACAGG